ensembl:rRNA 5S_rRNA 5S ribosomal RNA
UUUAGCAGCCACACCACCUGCAGUUCAGACCUGGUCAUCCACCUGAAGCUAUGCAGGUUUGGGCCUGGCCAGCACUUUGAUGGAAGACCAAUUAGGAAAGUGGGUUGCUAGUGGAA